GGCGGAUGUAGCCCAAGUGGAUCAAGGCAGUGGAUUGUGAAUCCA
rnacentral:tRNA from 1 species